CUCCGAGCCCGGAGCGCAGCAAAGAUGGUUUCUCCCCAAACCCGAUACUUAGUGUUCUUUCAGUACUGGGGCACUAAAUAUAGUGGGGUCAUGCAAACCUCAGCUAAGCAGUCAGGGGUUGGAGUCCAGAAUUAUUUGGAGAAGGCAGCACAGAACCUAAAACCUGUUGUUCCCAUCAAGUUCCACAUCUCCAGCCGGACCGACAGCGGUGUCCACGCGCUCUGCAACUCUGCUCACUUUGACAUCCAGAGGGCACCAGGGAAGCCAGCUUUUCAAGAGAGAAUGCUAGUUGGUUGUCUGAAUCACCACUUGAAGCCUGAGCCAAUCCGCAUCUUAAGUGCCUAUCGAGUGACCAACAGUUUCCAUGCACGUUUCUCUGCACUGUCAAGAACCUACAUUUAUCGGCUGCUGAUGGGCUGCACCCACCAUUCUGAAAUACCAGUGUUUGAGAGGGACCUGUGCUGGGCUCCCACUGGAGGCUACCUCGACGUGCCUGCCAUGCAGGAUGCAGCACAGUUCCUGCUGGGAACACACGACUUCAGCACUUUCCGUUCACUGAACUCUGAAACCCCAUUUCGGUCUCCAGUCAAAACCAUCCUACAGGCAGACAUCCAACCCUCUUCUGGUUUCCUGUCCCACCACUAUGAAUACAGGGGACUGCAGUUUUGGGAGCUGAAGUUCAAGAGCAGAUCGUUUCUUUACCGACAGGUACUGCUCUGCUCUGUGCACCCUUUGUCUCCAAGAACCCAGAUAUCACUCUCACUGUAACACGAUUCAUUUGGCAGUGUUGCAUCCACGUGUAGUGCCAUCUCAGUUGCAGAGCUGGUCCUACAGCUUCAUGAUACACACAAGAACCUUGUCAAGCGAGGCUCCGUGUUCGUUGUUUGAUCCACUAGAACCAGACUAUCUUUGGUUUGUGUCUGAAAUGAAUGACCAAAGUCACAGAAUCAUGUGGGAGGAUGGAAAGUUUUGUUUUCCUCAGUCUUUGUCCUUGCAGUCCGACUGGUGAAAACCAAGAGACAUAUGUUCUUGCUCUGCUGAAUGGCACUGGGCCCAGUGAAGGCUGCCUGGAAUUUUACUUUCUGGCUUUGGAGCGUGAGGUCCGAAGAAUGGUUGGGGCUCUAGUUGCAGUUGGCCAGGGAAAGUUGGCACCUCAUCAUAUAAAAGAGCUGCUGGAGAUGAAGG